UAUUAUGGUGCACCUUAUCCAUAAAAGGCUCUAUUAUGGUUAAGGUUUCAUAUGCAUUUGAACCCAAGUUCGUGCUUAGUUGCACUUAAAAUAAGGAAACUAUCAUCCCUCUUCCAAAAAAACAAAAACGACAGAUUUUUAUCUUCAAUUCGUCAUGAUAACCAGCUCUUUCAAAGCUUUUUGCCCAAUGUAACUACUUUACAACAUUCUUGUUUGUGCUGAAAUUACCCGCAGUCUUAAAGUAUCGAAAAAUAAGACACAACUCUCAUAGCCAAGUGCAAUGCUGGAAAUCAUGGCAAGAUGGGUGAGUAAUUGAUUUCUAUACCUAUUUAUCAUUUUUGUGCUGAAUUGAAGCAAGCAUGCAUUUUCUUUCUUUACCUAGGAAUGAUUGCUCUUGGAUUUCAAUUAAUGGAUCCAACCUAAAGUUAUUUAAAUUAAUAAGAUGAUAUUUACCUGAUCAUCAAAGCAAAGGUCGUCACAGUCGCCUGUCGUUGCGUAACUUUGCAAAAACGAACUGUUUAACAGAUGAAGACAAUCAGCCAGCAGGGACCAGAAAAGCCUUCUACAUGACAUGGAGGAACUACAGGAAUAAAAACAGAAGGAAACACAGAAGUUAAAGGGAGCAAAUUUUCAUAUGCUUUUCUUUUUCACUUGAGGAUUAAUAUGUAUGAGUGUAAAUGGUAUUAUACCACGUUUGCUAUUAUAUUGUGCAUGUAAUUUUUAUAAAAAGGGGCAGCGCGUUUUUUCGGCACGUACGUAAAAUACAGCGCAAAAAUAAAUAUAUCGCAAAAUACAGCGCCAAUCAAAUUGCAGGAUGAAUAUUCGUAAUUAUUCAUUAUUUCUUACCUUGAAUUUUUUGCGCUUCCGUGCAUUAUUGUUGAACCUGCCAAGGGCCUUCACGCAUCCAGUACCAGAUGACACCUGGGUUUCUUUCUUUCAAGUGCCCAUCAAUCCACGGUGCGGGAUGGGAACGUUUAUAUGGUGCUAGAUGUCGGGUGAUAGAAAAGUGUGGAAUGAGUGGUCAUACAACUGUUUAAUUAUUGAUAUAUACCCUUAUAUGAUAACCAUUUCUCAUCUAGUCUUGCUCAAAGCCGACCUUUCUUUCUGAGACUCAUAGCGUCACGAGUAGCAAUUGAAAAAUGAGCGCGUUGGUGUUGCGAGAGGUUGACUGGUUGGGCUGCGCGCGUGAACUAUUAUGGAAACAAAGGACUUUGCGAAAGUCUACCCUUUCUGUUUAAAGAAUGAUUGCGAGACAAACAAACAUAAGAACACAAAAAAAGACGUUAAAAGGGCCCGUUAAUGCACCGAUUAGUCUGUCUAUUAUAAUUUCUAUUAGAAAUAAUUAGUAUAAAAGUAUUUUUAACUCAAAGUUAAAAAUAAAAUCUCAGAGUUUCUUUCAUA